rnacentral:rRNA from 1 species
AAACAGGUAGCUAAUACCGGAUAAGAAAGCAGAUCGCAUGAUCAAGCUUUUAAAAGGCGGCGUAAGCUGUCGCUAUGGGGAUGGCCCGCGGUGCAUUAGCUAGUUGGUAAGGUAAAGGGCUUACCAAGGCGAUGAUGCAUAGCCCGAGUUGAGAGACUGAUCGGCCACAUUGGGGACUGAGACACGGGCCCAAACUCCUACGGGAGGCAGCAGUAGGGAAUCUUCCACAAUGGACGCAAGUCUGAUGGAGCAAACGCCGCGUGGGUGAAGAAGGUUUUCGGAUCGUAAAGCUCUGUUGUUGGUGAAGAAGGAUAGAGGUAGUAACUGGCCCUUUAUUUGACGGUAAUCAACCAGAAAGUCACGGGCUAACUACGUGCCAGCAGCCGCGGUAAAU